AGAGAGAGACAUGCGCGCAUAUCAAUAAGCGGAGGAAAAGAGACUAACAAGGAUUCCCUUAGUAACGGCGAGUGAAGCGGGAAGAGCUCAAAUUUGAAAUCUUCAAGGUUCUACCUUGACGAAUUGUAGUUUAUAGAAGUGUUUUCUGUUAGUGGAGUGGCAAAAGUUCUUUGGAAUAGGACAUCAUAGAGGGUGAGAAUCCCGUAUUUGGUCAUUCCUCCUAGCGUUGUGAUACACUUUCAACGAGUCGGAUUGUUUGGGAAUGCAGUCCAAAAUGGGUGGUAAAUUUCAUCUAAAGCUAAAUAUUGGCGAGAGACCGAUAGCGAACAAGUACCGUGAGGGAAAGAUGAAAGAACUUUGAAAAGAGAGUUAAACAGUACGUGAAAUUGUCAAAAGGGAAGCGUUUGACACCAGUGUUGUUUUUCCGAAAAUCAAUUACGAAUGUUUUGUUUUUGAGGAGUUAUGACUUCAUCGGCUUGCUCCUUUCUUUAUGAAACUUUCUUAAUGCACUUUUCGGUUAACAAGUCAACAUCAAUUUCUUUUGUUGUAAAAGGGUAUGAGGAAGGUGGCUUUCUUUUCGGAGGAAGUGUUUAUAGCCUUGUGCCUCUGCAAUCGGAGAGAUUGAGGUCUGCAGCGUAGAUCCUUCGGGUUAGAUACGUUUGUGCUAAGUUAUAGCUUUUCAUAGACAACUUGUUGACUAUGUUUAGUCUUGUAGCUUACUCGCUGACGCUAUUUUACCUACGCUUAGGAUGUUGAUAGUCACAGCGUGUAC
rnacentral:rRNA from 1 species